rnacentral:rRNA from 1 species
AGCCAGACUCCUACGGGAGGCAGCAGUGGGGGAUAUUGCACAAUGGGGGAAACCCUGAUGCAGCGACGCCGCGUGGGCGAAGAAGUAUUUCGGUAUGUAAAGCCCUAUCAGCAGGGAAGAAGAAAUGACGGUACCUGACUAAGAAGCCCCGGCUAACUACGUGCCAGCAGCCGCGGUAAUACGUAGGGGGCAAGCGUUAUCCGGAUUUACUGGGUGUAAAGGGGGCGCAGACGGCGAUGCAAGCCAGGAGUGAAAGCCCGGGGCCCAACCCCGGGACUGCUUUUGAAACUGUGUAGCUGGAGUGCAGGAGAGGUAAGUGGAAUUCCUAGUGUAGCGGUGAAAUGCGUAGAUAUUAGGAGGAACACCGGUGGCGAAGGCGGCUUACUGGACUGUAACUGACGUUGAGGCUCGAAAGCGUGGGGAGCAAACAGGAUUAGAUACCCCGGUACG